GACGAACGCUGGCGGCGUGCCUAACACAUGCAAGUCGAACGAAGACCAUAGAGGAGCUUGCUUUAAUAUGGUUUUAGUGGCGGACGGGUGAGUAACGCGUGAGGACUUGUCGAGUACAGGGGGACAACAGGUGGAAACGUCUGCUAAUACCCCAUAAGCCUUCGGGUAAAAGGAGCGAUCCGGUACACGAGAGACUCGCGUUCUAUCAGCUAGUAGGUGGGGUAACGGCCCACCCAGGCCAAGACGGAUAGCCGGACUGAGAGGUCGAUCGGCCACACUGGAACUGAGACACGGUCCAGACUCCUACGGGAGGCAGCAGUGGGGAAUAUUGGGCAAUGGGGGAAACCCUGACCCAGCGACGCCGCGUGAGUGAAGAAAUCCCUCGGGAUGUAAAACUCUGUUGUGUGGGAAGAUAAUGACGGUACCACACGAGGAAGCCCCGGCAAACUACGU
rnacentral:rRNA from 1 species